GGAAUAUUUAGUGAUCACGUAAAAUCUAGCUAAGUUGUGAUACUGGUCCCUGUGAUCCACAAUAGUCCCUCUUGGUGAUAAAACAAGGCUAGCAAAUCUUCCACCACUGAAGAGUGGGGAUAUUAGGACCCACCUCCAGGAACAGCCUCAGAAAUUGACUGCCCUUGACCUACAGCUAUCCUCCUUAGGUUAGGUGUCAGUGAUUGGAAUAGCGCGGGGAUUUGAGAUAGACAUAGACGUGACACAGAGAGUUUACACCCCAGGGGCUCUUGGGAUUUAUCAGAGACCCCUGAUGUUGAGGGAGGCCGAUGCUUUCCAUAGAAAAAGGAUAUAGAAUACAUUUAAAUACUUUGGAACAAAUCUAAACUGCUGCUAUCA